CUAAAUGUUACCUAUUCGAAGCUUUGCUUCUCUCUGUAGCUGUGUUUAAUAUUUUUGUCUGAAAAAAUAUUCCCCAUCUCGUCCGGCUACAUCUUCGGUCAGGUUGAAAGUGAUUAU